GAUGAACGCUGGCGGCAUGCCUUACACAUGCAAGUCGAACGGCAGCACGGGGCAACCUGGUGGCGAGUGGCGAACGGGUGAGUAAUGCAUCGGAACGUGCCAUUGAGUGGGGGAUAACGUAGCGAAAGUUGCGCUAAUACCGCAUAUUCUGUGAGCAGGAAAGCAGGGGACCGCAAGGCCUUGCGCUCUUUGAGCGGCCGAUGUCAGAUUAGCUAGUUGGUGAGGUAACGGCUUACCAAGGCGACGAUCUGUAGCGGGUCUGAGAGGAUGAUCCGCCACACUGGAACUGAGACACGGUCCAGACUCCUACGGGAGGCAGCAGUGGGGAAUUUUGGACAAUGGGCGCAAGCCUGAUCCAGCCAUGCCGCGUGAGUGAAGAAGGC
rnacentral:rRNA from 1 species